UUUGAUCAUGGCUCAAAUUGAACGCUGGCGGCAUGCUUCCCUUUUGCAAGUCGAACGGUAGGGGGAGCAAUCCCCUGAGAUUGGCGACCGGUGGAGUAAGGCUUCGAAACGUGCCCAUUUGUGGGGAAUAACUACUCAAAAGAGUGGCUAAUACCGCAUACGACCUGAGGGUGAAAGCGGGGAACCGAAGGGCCCCUCCCGGUUGGAGCGCCCAAUGUCAGAUUAGCUGGUUGGGGGGGUAAAGGCCCACCAAGGCUACAAUCUGUAGCUG
rnacentral:rRNA from 1 species